rnacentral:rRNA from 1 species
GCGAACGCUGGCGGCGUGCUUAACACAUGCAAGUCGAACGGAAAGGCCCUGCUUUUGUGGGGUGCUCGAGUGGCGAACGGGUGAGUAACACGUGAGUAACCUGCCCUUGACUUUGGGAUAACUUCAGGAAACUGGGGCUAAUACUGGAUAGGAGCUCCUGCUGCAUGGUGGGGGUUGGAAAGUUUCGGCGGUUGGGGAUGGACUCGCGGCUUAUCAGCUUGUUGGUGGGGUAGUGGCUUACCAAGGCUUUGACGGGUAGCCGGCCUGAGAGGGUGACCGGCCACAUUGGGACUGAGAUACGGCCCAGACUCCUACGGGAGGCAGCAGUGGGGAAUAUUGCACAAUGGGCGGAAGCCUGAUGCAGCAACGCCGCGUGCGGGAUGACGGCCUUCGGGUUGUAAACCGCUUUCGCCUGUGACGAAGCGUGAGUGACGGUAAUGGGUAAAGAAGCACCGGCUAACUACGUG